GUACUCACUUUGGCAGCACAUAUAUUAAAAUUGGAAAGAUACAGAGCAGAUCAGCAUGGCCCCUGCACAAGGGUGACAUGCAAAUUCAUGAAGCAUUCCAUAUUUUU
rnacentral:snRNA from 1 species